UGUAUAUCGACUCUGUCGAAUAAAGUUCUAGUUAAGUUUUGAUAAUGACAUUUCUUAACUAUGUGUCUUGACCAAAUCACGUGCCAGCAGUCGCGGUAAGACGUGGAAGACUAGUGUUAUUCAUCUUUAACAGGUUUAAAGGGUACCUAGACGGUAAAUCAAGCCCCAAAAGGGUACUAAUUUACUAGAGUUUAAUAAGAGAGGGGGAGUACUGAUGAGUGGAGAGAUGAAAUUUUAUGAUACCAUUAGGAACAGACAAAGGCGAAAGCGACCUUUUACAUAAAAACUGACGUUGAGGGACGAAGGCUUUAGUCGUGAACAGGAUUAGAUACCCAAGUAAUUAAAGCAGACAAUGAUGAAUGUCAUAGAUUAGAGAUUCGUAUUAAUCUAUAAAUGAAAGUGUAAGCAUUCCACCUCAAGAGUAAUGUGGCAACGCAGAAACUGAAAUCAUUAGACCGUUUCUGAAACCAGUAGUGAAGUAUGUUGUUUAAUUAGAUAAUCCGCAAAAGACCUCACCACAAUUUGAAUAUUAUUAAUAUCUUUUUAAUAAUACAAGCGUUGCACGGCUGUCUUCAGUUAAUGUCGUGAGAUUAGGUUAGUUCCAUUAAAUUAACGUAAACCCUUGCUUUAUUUAUAUUAUAAAGUAGAUCACCGCUAUAUUGGAUGUGAUAAUAGGGACUAAGACAAGUCAUCAUGGCCUGAAUAUUGUGGGCGAUAGACGUGCCACAUAAUCGGAGACAAAGGGAUGCGAAA
rnacentral:rRNA from 1 species